AGGAUCUCUGCUUGGUGACAUCUCUUCUGUGGAGUUCCUACUGUGAGCAUAGAUCAUCAGAGCCUGACGUAUUCUCAGAGUUUGAACAUUCUGAAGAAGGGAAGUCAGGAAUUUCUGAGUAGACUCUUCCAGUUAAGGAACUGUUAUGUCAUGGCCUGAACUGAUGAUUGAGCUUCUGCUUAAAGAGGUGGUUGGCCCAGGAAGCACAGGUGCAAGCAAUGCCACCUGACUGGAAAGGACAGGUCCUGGGCUUGUUUAAGGGCUAGCCUCCAAAGACAGAAUGUUUUCUGGAUGAAGGCUACUUUCUGAGAAGGAGUGGUCUGUAGCUAGAGUGUCUAUCAUCAGCAGGGUGAGUUAACUUUUUCUUCUAUGUGAUCAUUGAUAUUUCUAAUGGUGCUUUGUCUGGUAUUGUAAAGAACUGAUCAGAAACAAUUUUGCUUCCUCUAAAGAUCAAUAAUAAUGAG